AUUGAACGCUGGCGGCAUGCCUUACACAUGCAAGUCGAACGGCGGCACGGGUGCUUGCACCUGGUGGCGAGUGGCGAACGGGUGAGUAAUACAUCGGCACGUACCUUAUCGUGGGGGAUAACGCAGCGAAAGUUGCGCUAAUACCGCAUACGCCCUGAGGGGGAAAGCGGGGGACCGUAAGGCCUCGCGCGAUUAGAGCGGCCGAUGUCUGAUUAGCUUGUUGGUGAGGUAAAAGCUCACCAAGGCGAUGAUCAGUAGCUGGUCUGAGAGGACGAUCAGCCACACUGGGACUGAGACACGGCCCAGACUCCUACGGGAGGCAGCAGUGGGGAAUUUUGGACAAUGGGGGCAACCCUGAUCCAGCAAUGCCGCGUGAGUGAAGAAGGCCUUCGGGUUGUAAAGCUCUUUUGUCAGGGAAGAGACAGCAGCUCUAACACAGUCUGCGAAUGACGGUACCUGAAGAAUAAGCACCGGCUAACUACGUGCCAGCAGCCGCAGUAA
rnacentral:rRNA from 1 species